GCAGGCUGCAACUCGCCUGCACGAAGUCGGAAUUGCUAGUAAUCGUAGGUCAGCAUACUACGGUGAAUACGUUCCCGGGCCUUGUACACACCGCCCGUCAAACCAUGAGAGUUGGCAACACCCGAAGUCGGUAGUCUAACCGCAAGGAGGACGCCGCCGAAGGUGGGGUUGAUGAUUAGGGUUAAGUCGUAACAAGGUAGC
rnacentral:rRNA from 1 species